CCCUUAGAGUUUGAUCCUGGCUCAGAAUCAACGCUGGCGGCGUGCCUAACACAUGCAAGUCGAGCGAGAAAAGGGGAGCAAUCCCCUGAGUAAAGCGGCGCACGGGUGAGUAACACGUGGGUAAUCUGCCCUGGAGUGGGGAAUAACACCGGGAAACCGGUGCUAAUACCGCAUACGAUGAUGAGGUCUGCGGACUUCGUCAUGAAAGGAGCAAUUCGCUCCAGGAGGAGCCCGCGGCUGAUUAGCUAGUUGGCGAGGUAAUGGCUCACCAAGGCUUCGAUCAGUAUCCGGUCUGAGAGGACGGUCGGACACACUGGAACUGAGACACGGUCCAGACUCCUACGGGAGGCAGCAGUGGGGAAUUUUUGGCAAUGGGGGCAACCCUGACCAAGCAACGCCGCGUGGGUGAUGAAGUCUCUUGGGACGUAAAACCCUUUCGACGGGGAAGAAAACCGCAAGGUUUGACGGUACCCGUAGAAGAAGCCCCGGCUAACUCCGUGCCAGCAGCCGCGGUAAUACGGGGGGGGCAAGCGUUGUUCGGAAUUACUGGGCGUAAAGGGUGCGUAGGCGGUUCGCUAAGUUGGAUGUGAAAACUAUGGGCUCAACUCAUAGCUUGCAUCCAAUACUGACGGACUAGAGUUCUGGAGGGGGUAGCGGAAUUCCUGGUGUAGCGGUGAAAUGCGUAGAUA
rnacentral:rRNA from 1 species